rnacentral:rRNA from 1 species
AGUGAACGCUGGCGGUAGGCCUAACACAUGCAAGUCGAACGGCAGCACAGUAAGAGCUUGCUCUUACGGGUGGCGAGUGGCGGACGGGUGAGGAAUACAUCGGAAUCUACUUUUUCGUGGGGGAUAACGUAGGGAAACUUACGCUAAUACCGCAUACGACCUACGGGUGAAAGCAGGGGAUCUUCGGACCUUGCGCGAUUGAAUGAGCCGAUGUCGGAUUAGCUAGUUGGCGGGGUAAAGGCCCACCAAGGCGACGAUCCGUAGCUGGUCUGAGAGGAUGAUCGGCCACACUGGAACUGAGACACGGUCCAGACUCCUACGGGAGGCAGCAGUGGGGAAUAUUGGACAAUGGGCGCAAGCCUGAUCCAGCCAUACCGCGUGGGUGAAGAAGGCCUUCGGGUUGUAAAGCCCUUUUGUUGGGAAAGAAAAGCAGCAGGUGAAUACCCCGCUGUUCUGACGGUACCCAAAGAAUAAGCACCGGCUAACUUCGUG